rnacentral:piRNA from 1 species
UGCCUCUCAACAACCUCUUUGGACUCAGUGC